UUGAUCCUGGCUCAGAAUCAACGCUGGCGGCGUGCCUAACACAUGCAAGUCGAACGAGAAAGUUUGGUGUUGUAGCAAUACAAUACUGGAUGAGUAAAGUGGCGUACGGGUGAGUAACACGUGGAUAACCUACCUCCGAAUGGGGAAUAUCCCUGGGAAACCGGGGCUAAUACCGCAUAACAUCUUAGUACUUCGGUAUUGGGAUUGAAACCUGGAAACGGGGUUUGGAGAGGGGUCCGCGGCUGAUUAUCUAGUUGGUGAGGUAAUGGCCCACCAAGGCUUUGAUCGGCAGCCGGCCUUAGGGGGCGGACGGCCACACUGGAACUGAAACACGGUCCAGACUCCUACGUGAGGCAGCAGUGGGGAAUUUUGCGCAAUGGGGGAAACCCUGACGCAGCAUCGCCGCGUGGAUGAUGAAGCCCCUUGGGGUGUAAAAUCCUUUCGGCAGGUACGAAACUAGAGCGAUCUAGCGGACGGUACCUGAAGAAGAAGCCCCGGCUAACUCCGUGCCAGCAGCCGCGGUAAUU
rnacentral:rRNA from 1 species